rnacentral:rRNA from 1 species
AUGUAUCAGCACAAGCCUCAAAAUGGUGAAGCCGCGAAUAGCUCAUUACAACAGUCGUAGUUUAUUAGAAAGUAUCAAAUGGAUAACUGUGGUAAUUCUAGAGCUAAUACAUGUUCCAAUCCCCGACUUACGAAGGGGUGCAUUUAUUAGAACAAAGCCGAUCAGACUAUGUCUGUCUCAGGUUGACUCUGAAUAACUUUGCUAAUCGCACAGUCUUUGCACUGGCGAUGUAUCUUUCAAAUGUCUGCCUUAUCAACUGUUGAUGGUAGAUUAUGCGCCUACCAUGGUUGUAACGGGUAACGGAGAAUCAGGGUUUGAUUCCGGAGAGGGAGCCUGAGAAACAGCUACCACAUCCAAGGAAGGCAGCAGGCACGCAAAUUACCCACUCCCAGUUCGGGGAGGUAGUGACGAAAAAUAACGAGACGAUGCUCUACGAGUAUCGUCAUCGGAAUGAGAACAAUCUAAAUACUUUAACGAGUAUCUAUUGGAGGGCAAGUCUGGUGCCAGCAGCCGCGGUAAUUCCAGCUCCAAUAGCGUAUAUUAAAGUUGUUGCGGUUAAAAAGCUCGUAGUUGGAUCUGAGAUUUGUGACAGCGGUCCUCUAAUGAGUUGUACUGCUUGUCACGGUCUAAUCUGUUGGUUGGUGUGCAGUGCUCUUUAUUGAGUGUUGUAUGCUGCCAACUAUUUUACUUUGAAGAAAUUAGAGUGCUCAAAGCAGGCGUUUGCUCGAAUAUUGGUGCAUGGAAUAAUGGAAUAGGGCCUUGGCUCUAUUUUGUUGGUUUUAGGAGCACGAGGCAAUGAUUAAGAGAAACAGACGGGGGCAUUUGUAUUGCGGCGUUAGAGGUGAAAUUCUUGGAUCGUCGCAAGACAAACAACUGCGAAAGCAUUUGCCAAGAAUGUUUUCAUUAAUCAAGAACGAAAGUUAGAGGUUCGAAGGCGAUCAGAUACCGCCCUAGUUCUGACCGUAAA